UACGUAGGGUGCAAGCGUUGUCCGGAAUUAUUGGGCGUAAAGAGCUCGUAGGCGGUUUGUUGCGUCGGCUGUGAAAUCCCGAGGCUCAACCUCGGGUCUGCAGUCGAUACGAGCAAACUAGAGUGUUGCAGGGGAGACUGGAAUUCCUGGUGUAGCGGUGAAAUGCGCAGAUAUCAGGAGGAACACCGGUGGCGAAGGCGGGUCUCUGGGCCGAUGACUGACGCUCAUGCACGAAAGCGUGGGGAGCAAACAGG
rnacentral:rRNA from 1 species